GGGUGUACCCUUCCUCCUUGAACAGCUCCAUGUGUGUCUCUCCCAAAGCUGCGCACUCGGUUGCAGAGGACAACCUCCCCAGUAGAUUUUUUUUGCCUGGAGAGUGACCCAGCAGAGAAGGACCUGAGAGUGCUGUUGACAGCUGGCUUAACAUGAGCUGGUGUGUGCCCAGGUAGGCAAGAAGGCCAAAAACAUCCUGCCCUAUGUCAGACACAGGGUGGCCAGCAGGACCAGGGCAGUGACUGUCCCCCUGUACUU
rnacentral:sRNA from 1 species